rnacentral:lncRNA from 1 species
GCAUUUCAGUUUUUGGCUUCACCCCCACCAGUGACCAAAGACUUGACCACUCAAAGUCCAGCUCCCCAGAACACUGCUCGACAUGGACACCGGUGUGAUUGAAGGUGGAUUAAAUGUCACUCUCACCAUCCGGCUACUUAUGCAUGGAAAGGUAUGCACCAGCUUGGGAAAUUGGGUCAUAGUAACUGCUCGGGGAGAGGCCAGGAAGAGAGGGCAUGCAUCUUGGAGCUCAUCAGAUUAGCACUGUGGGGCAUCUGGCUUUAGCAGUCUUCUCUAUCAGAGUAGAUGAGAGUGUAGUGGGAAAAUGGACAGACUUUAGUAGGAAGCUCCACUGAGCAGGAAAGGCUUAACUAGAGGAUGGAGCCAGAGACUCUCAUACCUGGAUAAUAAGAUUUUCCUCAUCGAGGUUGGUGUAGCUUGUGAUAAAUAGAUAAUCUCUGCCAAGACAAUUUUGGGAAACUAUACAGAUUUGGUACUUCAAUAAAUAAGUUAUGUUAAACACAGAAUAGUAUUUGAUUAUUUCUGAAUCAUUAUUCCUUCAGUAUUCUUUGGUACCUUCAGUUAUGUUUUGAGCAAAGAAGAGAGUAAGCCUCCCUACUCCUCUUCCUAAUAAAUCUGAGUUUUUCCAUUGUUUUGGACAGUUAAAAAUUCCUUUUUAUGAUAUGAACACUUGAGUUUCCUCUUAUUUGACGCUAGUUUUCUCCAUUGCAGGAAGUUGGCAGUAUCAUCGGAAAGGUAAGACUGUUUCACUUCAACUCUAAUUACUAUUUAGUUAGUCUUGGUUGAAACAGCAGUUGGAGCUCAUUCUUGACUUUUCCUCUUACAGAAAGGAGAAUCAGUUAAGAAGAUGCGUGAGGAGGUGAGUUAUAGGGGGGUGGGAUGGGGGGGGCUAGUUUAAGGGUUGUUAAAAGCCCUUAAAGGCAAAAUUUUUAUUUAAUGAGCAAUUAGAAGGAAUCAAUAGGAGAAUCUGGUGUUUUUUUGGCCUGGUUAUUUGUAAUCACAUAAUAUGCUGGGAAAUGUAGUUCCAGUAAGCCUCAAUUCAUUCAAGCUUUAAGGCAGCUUCUGUAGUGUUGAGGGCAAACAUGAGCAAUGUUUGAAAUCCGAAAUUGGCUUGUGUUAAGAUCAUGCAUAUAGGUAGCUUCCUUGGUCAUCUUAUUUGGGAGGGGCUGUGUAAUCUGUAUAUGCUCAGACCUUUUUGUCUGUUAACCUCUUGGCUUUGUUUUUUUAAUCCAGAGUGGUGCACGUAUCAACAUCUCAGAAGGGAAUUGUCCUGAGAGAAUUAUCACUUUGGCUGGACCCACUAAUGCCAUCUUCAAAGCCUUUGCUAUGAUCAUUGACAAACUGGAAGAGGUUCGUUUUCACUCAUUCCCCCCCGAAUCUUCAUUUUAAAGUGCUUCUAGAUAGCUUAGUGAUUUUUCUUUUUCUUUUUUUUUUUUUUUCAACGUUUAUUUAUUUUUGGGACAGAGAGAGACAGAGCAUGAACGGGGGAGGGGCAGAGAGAGAGGGAGACACAGAAUCCGAAACAGGCUCCAGGCUCUGAGCCAUCAGCCCAGAGCCUGACGCGGGGCUCGAACUCACGGACCGCGAGAUCGUGACCUGGCUGAAGUCGGACGCUUAACCGACUGCGCCACCCAGGCGCCCCUAGCUUAGUGAUUUUUCUAAGAGCUUUCUAAAUUGAAGGCCAGACUGGAUCAUAAAUCUGUAAAUGGGUCCUUUACAAACCUUCUCUUCAGUGUUCCCAAAAUUUAACUGUAAGUCACUUGAAUCAUUAAAAGGACUAGCUUGACUAUUACUGAGGACUCAAUGUAAAAAAAAAAAAAAAAGUGUGAAAACCCAUUUUUUAUUUUUAUUUUUUGACCAGUAGUUUUGAAGGUAUGAUGGUAUUGCAUUGGUAAACUUCACGUCCUCUAAUUUAUAGUUGAAUGAACUUAAAUAAAUGUGCUUUUGUUAGGUGCCCUGAUGAACACUAAUACAUGCCAUAAAUAACAUAUCUUUCAACCUUGGAUGCAGUUGGGAUUUUUAAGAAAUUCAGUCUGAUAACUUUGUGUCAGAGCUAUACUUGGAGGAAGAGAAUAUGUUUUAUAGGUUUUCAGAAGAAAAUUAUCAAUGCCAGAAGUUUUUUGGCAGAAGGAAGUUUUGUUUUUGUUUCUUUUGUUCACCAAGAUCCCUCAACCUUCAGAUACUCUACAACCAUUGCCCUACGUCUUCAGCCUCCUCCCCCUCUUCAGUAAUGCUGCUAAUCAUGCAUUUGACACCACAGGCAGAGGAGAGCUAUUGGCUGCUGCUUGGUUGGUGGUUGGAUACUUAAUGGUGCCUGAAAUUUUAUCCUGGCCAAGAUCAGAAAUGUUAUCUUUUGACCUGCAAGGCCCUGCUAAUCCAGAGCUUGAAGCUUAAAAAACAUUCAGAAAAUUUAUUUGUACUUUAACAUGUCCUUGACUUCAGGGGCUUAUGUUUAAGCACUUUUCAGGUCUAGCUACUACAUAGAGAUUAGGCUGAGAAGUGAUGUUUAAACCACUUAAUCUUCAGAGGGCUAAAUUUAACUAGGUUAAAACCAUGACUUUUUGGAAGUAGCAUAUUAUGGGAAAGACAGUGGGCUUUGGAGCCAAUACAGUCUUUUAAUUUCAAAUCUACAGCUUUUUAGAUGUGAUUGGGACGAGUACUUGGCCUCAGUUUCAUUGUUUGUAUAAUGGUGAUUUUACCAAGAAAUUAAAACAAAUAGAAACACUUGCUUAAUCUUUCUAAUUUUUCUAAGAGAACAGAAUUGGUUAUUUGAAUUUGGGGUUGCAUUGUUUCAUCUGAAUGUUUUAAUUUUGACUUUGAUAUUGUUUCCCUUUAUAGUCAAUUCUGAUUUCCAAAACAAACAGUCACUUUUCUUCCUCCAUGAAAGAAACUGUAUUUAGGGAUAAUCAGAGGAAGUUUAUAGGUGUUUUUAUCUUUAAGGAAAUAGUUGUUUUGGGGGUAAUAUUUGAACUUUUGUUGAUGGUAGAUCAUGACUGAAACGUCCCUUAAAAGGUUAAACGGUUCUUUUAUAGCAGUUGUGGGUCCCAGGGAUCUGCUUAAACUUAGAUUCUUGUGUUCUCAUUUCUUUUUGAAGGACAUCAGCAGCUCUAUGACCAAUAGCACAGCUGCCAGUAGACCCCCAGUAACCCUGAGGCUGGUGGUCCCUGCUAGUCAGUGUGGCUCUCUCAUUGGGAAAGGUGGUUGCAAGAUCAAGGAAAUACGAGAGGUUGGUGACUUUUGUCGUCUUGAAAAUAUUAAUUAUUCUAAAUGUGGCUCUCUCUGUUAAUAGCUCUUAGUAUGGCUUGGAAAAGUUAACGUUUGCAAUGAAGGUUGUUAUUAAAGUAGUAGUCCUAGAUGAUUAUGAUUUAAUUGUGUAUUGGGAAGAAAAGUAUUACACAGUUGACACGUGUAUAUAAAUAAUGUGUAGGAUGGUUUUUGUUUUUGUUUUUUGGUUUUGUUUUUACAAUUCAUAUAUCUUAACAGUAAGACAGAAGGUUAACCAGAAUUUCUGUUGCAUAUGAUCUGUUUCCAUUUUUCAUUUGGCAACUUUUCCAGGAGACUAUAUGCUUUUUUUGUGUGUCUGAAGAGAUUAGAGUUUGAUAUGGAAUGACAGCAAAUAUUUUCCUUGGCCAAACACCUAAAUAGCAAGGGGAAAACAGGAAAGUAUGUUAGGAUGUAGUUGUAAUCCUGCUCCCUUUUAGGCUGGAAUUUACAUUGAAUUACGGAAGCUUUUAAUAGUAUCUGGGAGUUACUAAAUUGGAUAUUGGAAUGAAAUUUGAAUGGCUUCUAAAGGAGUUUUUGGGAUCAUAUUGUGCAUGCCAGAAGAGCAGGGAUUUUGGUUUUGUUUGAUGUAUUCCAAGCAACCUGGAAUGGUGCCUGGUGCAUAGAAGGGGCGUUAUAUAAAUAUUUGUUUAAUAAAAGAAUGAAAAGUGGGUGAUAUUUGUGGGGACUUUGAUGGCUUACGAAGCUGUCAUUAGCUGAAAGAAAACUAUCUAGUAGGACCUUUUUCUUGAGAGCAGCUUAAAUUUAGGCUGUUACUGACUUCCAGAGGCUAAUUUAUUUAUAACUGUGAUUAAACAGUCCUAUCUGGAAUAAGGGAAGAGUGGGAAGGGAGGAUAAAAAGGGUAAAAUAGGAAAUGGGAUAAGUAUCGCUGCUGCAGAAUUACUGCUUGGGGAAUUGGAAGAGCAUGAAUCGUUUUUCUCUGAUUUUUAAAAAUUUUCUUUCUACCCCAAAGAGUACAGGGGCUCAGGUCCAGGUGGCAGGGGAUAUGCUCCCCAACUCAACUGAGCGGGCCAUCACUAUUGCUGGCAUUCCGCAAUCCAUCAUUGAGUGUGUGAAACAGAUCUGCGUGGUCAUGUUGGAGGUAAGCCCUCAGGCUCAUGCUGAGAAUGGGGGGAGGGUGAUUCUAGGGAGACAGACUGAUCUAUAUUUAGUAAGACUAGAAUUAGGUGAAGCUGUUAGAAGCCUCCAGUGGGGGUGGGGAAGAGGUUCCGUGAGUUCAUAUUUUCCUCACCCCCCCCCCCCCCCCUUUUCUUAUAGUCUGAGCAAAAAUAGAAACUGUUAAGCAGCCGUGAUCUUUUGGUUUACAGCAAUUCUAGCAGGGUUGGUAGGGGAAGAUUCACUACUUGGUCUGAGUGGACAAAAUAUGUAACUCGGUUCCAGAGAGACUGAGUUAAGUUGCCUUUUGGAUUACAGUAUUUUGGCUAUGUGCAACUUUGACGUAUUCUUCAAAUUAAUUUCCAUGUUUUAAGACAGGAUUAUAUUCAAAAUAUUUCUAUAUGAAAAAAAACUUACCUGUGAUGGUGUUUAUGAAUAACUUGUGAGGUCCUGGUAGUAUAUGCUAUCCAGUUAAAACAAGAAUAGCAAAAUUAGGGGAAAAUAAAACAUUUAGAACUGCCAUUGAGAUGUUCCUAUAUUCGUGAGAAAAGAAUUUUCAAGUAGAAUUUAGGAAAAUGUUGAUUGAGCCUUUGAACUACUUACCGUGUAUAUUUCUCCAGGCAUAAUAUUUGUGUACUUUAUUUCAUUUCCUGUUUAGGCCAAAAUGUAAGAUCCUAAAUUACCAACUUCAUAUAUACACAUAGAGGUUUGUCAUGUUCAUUAGUUUUAUUUGAAAACAUGGAAAUAAUGCGUAAAUUAUUACAGGGGAAUCUGCCUUGAUGAGAAUUAGUGUGAGCUGUGUAGUCCACGGACCCAUCUUACUGCUUUAAAGGCAAAUAACUGCAGAUGAUUUGAGAUUAGAUCUAGCCAGAGACAACGUUGGUAGGUGAGGGGAUGGAAAUUAAUACAGUUUUUAAUAUAACUGACCUGUGUGAGCUUAAGCCACACAGCUGAAGCAGCUUUGAAACCUUAUCUCUUUUUGUUUUUUUCCCCUCUGACUCUCUCCCAGUCCCCCCCGAAGGGCGUGACCAUCCCGUACCGGCCCAAGCCGUCCAGUUCUCCAGUCAUCUUUGCAGGUGGUCAGGUAAGAAAAUUCUUAUUGGUGGGCUACAAUGAACAAGGAUUAUAUUUGAAAUGUAAACUUUGCCAGCAGCGCACCAGGCCACUCUGCAUGCUUGCUGAAACCUAUACUCUGGCCAUAGUUUGACCUGCUUUUAGUUUUAUUUUUUGUACUGGAGAAAGCUCUGAAUGCCAAGCUCUUAAUUUUUAGCAGGCAAUGGGAGUUUUGUAGGCACUCGGAAGAGGUAAUUUACUUGGUAAUUUAAGGUGGGUUGGGUUAGAAGAAAGGGUUAAAUUGCCUUGGUGUCACUACUUCUCUCCCUUCCCCCCCACCCCAUCCAUGCUUUUUAACGUGUGGGGUGUUCUUUAGAGGUCUGAAUAAAAGUAGCAAAGAAUUGGACCUCUGAAGGAGAUUCUGGAUGGUGGUCUCAAAAUUGGGGGGUUCCUAAACUUGAGUGUCCUACAAACUUCCCCUCCCCCCCCACCUCACCUCCCCUACUCCUACCCCUUCACUCCCAAACUCCAGUGUGUUGUUCCCCCAGACUCUUAACCUCAUAAGCUGGUUUGAACCCACAUGGCAUAACUGAAACCAGCCCGGGGUAAGGGUUCAGUGUGCAAGAAUAGAAGGGGGAGAGCAUGUUGGGCUGUGGUGCUAUGACCUUUGGUGUUAGAGUAAGAACACCAAAGCACCCCCUUGGCCUCUUUCUACUUCACCCACCUAAACUCUUGAUCUUUGGCAUAUGGUUUAUUCUGAAGUUAGAUUUUUAUGAGAAGAGCACGGGUUAGACCCAUGGUAGUUUUAUGCUUUGUUGUUAGUAUCUGAGGAGUAGGUAGGUCAGUUUUUUAAAUGUUGGGGUUCAGGUUGAAAUAGUGACCUUCAAUUUGGUGGCUGCCUAAGCAAGCAAGUACAUUGUUCAAAAUGCCUUUUCCCAAUGAGGGGCUGGCCUGUUACAAGCACACUUAAUUAGUUCCAUCUUGUGUUUGAAUUGGGGGAAGCCUAAACGAAGUCCAUCCCAUUCACAUUCUAUUUUGAGUUGGCAUAAAACUGAACAAGAAUUUGGGGACUUAGUUUGUCAUGUGCUUCUGGGAGCUUUCACAAGAAAUUAAUCAUGUCACAGUAUUACCUUGAGACAGUUUAGUACCUUGCUUUAUAGAAACUGGAUUGGUCAAAGGGUUCCGAUAGUCUGGAUAGUCAGGCAGGAUAAACAAAGGCCCAGAGUCAGUAUAGUAUAGCAAGGAGGCUUAGCCUUAGGAGUUUUCCCUUCUCCCCAGGAACUCCAUGUUCCUGCUCUUCUGGAUUCUUCCACUCCCAUUUGGGAUUGUAAAGAGUCCCAUGCUGCAUAGCAGCAAUUCUCUCUAUAAUUCUUCAUUUCCCUUUCCUUUCCUCCUCUUUCCACCUCCCCCUUCUUACCUCUUUGCUUCCCCCCACCCUCCCCCACCCUUUAUUCAGUUGACCACCCUCUAAAGGCUUGCAGCUUCUUUCAUGAGUGGCCCUUAUUAUUCCCACGGGCCUUUUUAAAUGGACCCAUUUAUGCAACGUCCACAGAUGGACCUGUAUCUUUUGUUCCUUUGUGACAAAAGUGGGCUCUAUAGGGGUUCAACUUAAUCCCACAGUGACCAGUAGCUGGCAUCAGCUCUGUUGCCCCACCCCUUCAUUCUUACUGAAAAUAGCCCAAUUGUGCAGUGUGAUACCUGCCACAAGGUAACUUUUUUUUUUUAAAUUCACUGAUUGCAGCUCGUUUCAAAUUGUGUCGUGAGCUCCUUUUUAAAGGAAAAGAAAAAAUUAAACAACUUUUUUUGUGUGAAUUUCAUGCUGGUGACAAGGUGCCGGAUUGACAGCCCUGGAGACUGAAAUCCUCUAUUUAUCCACAGGACAGGUACAGCACAGGCAGCGACAGUGCGAGCUUUCCCCACACCACCCCGUCCAUGUGCCUCAACCCUGACCUGGAGGGACCACCUCUAGAGGUGAGAGGGGAUGUUCAGUCUCCAAGGCUCACUCAAUCCUUCCGCCUCAGCCGAGACUGCCAACACGCGGGGGGCCAGUGGCGCUGGUGAUUUUUGUGCUGUGGACACCACCUGUCCACGGGGACCUGGACUGACCCCCCCCACCUCAUUUCACACAGGCCGCGUAGCCCACCAGAUGGUAACACCAACUCUUUUUUUUCUUUUUUUUUCCUUUUUUUUCCUUUUUUUUCUUUUUUUUUUUCCUUUUUUUGUUGUUCAACCCUUCUUCCCCAUCUCCCACUCUUCCUAUCCCAUUUUCACCUUCCCACCCCCCACCUGGGUGCACUUUUGGGGGUACUGGCCACUGUGAUGUGAAAAGCUUCACAUCCUGUUAACCAGCCACUCCUUCCCCUCCCUUCCUGUUCCUCCUUGUCCCCCACCCCAUUGCCCUGAAGACCCAGCUCCCUUUUCGGAGGUUAUGGUGUGGGGGGAGGAGGGUGUAGUGGGAGCUGCAAGUGCCUUUUAUGGAGUGGGAGGUGGGAGAAGGUGCAGGAUUUAGAACACAGUGAUUUAUUUUAUUUAUUUGUGUUCCUGUGAUCAGCUCCCUAGUGUUAGGGAUUAAACUAGCUUCUAGUGCACUUAAGGUCUUUAGGCAGAUGUAGAAAAAAAUUAGAUAGGGAAAGGGAAGUGUUAUAGAACAUGCUGUAUAGGUUUAUGCAGAUACAAACAUUCAUGUCACCAUGAUUGGCAUAAGGGUUGGGGUGGUUGAGGGAAGAGACCAUUUUCCUCCUAGGCUGUCUUGUACAGAGGGAGAAAGGGGGCUUGGUCAAUCGAGGCAUUCCUUAAUCCACUUCCCACCUUUUCAUUAAGAAACAAAUGUGUAUUUUGCCUUUGAUUGCAGGGAACUUGGCUCCCUUCAUAGGCCUCCUGGAAUAAGUCAUCAUAUUUAGGUUUCAAAGAAAGCCAACUCAGGUCUGACUGUAUUUGUGAGAUACCAUCUACUGCCUCAAUCUGUGGCCUCCCCCAUCUUUAGUUCAACUCUGGCUUCCUGGCUAGUUGAAAUCUGUCUCCCCCUCUCCCUCUGGGUGGCUGUCCCUGAUUGGUUUUUUUUAAUAGGAACUGUUUUCCUCCUUUUGUAGGCCUAUACCAUUCAAGGACAGUAUGCCAUUCCACAGCCAGAUGUAAGUUUUGUUUUCACUUCUUGUUUUGAAAAGUUCCCUUUCCCAUCCAAAAUUGUCUUACUCUUUCUUCCACAUAGGCAGAAGUGAGUUGGGUCUUAAGCAUAUGGAGUAUUGUUUUCCUCACAAGGUGAACCCCAUCUUUUGGCCCUUAAAUAAUCUGUAAUCAGGGCAUAGUAGCACCUUGUUUGCCUUCUGAUAAUAUAAUCACUGGAAAUUAUAAUCCAGCAAAUUAUUAGAUUCUAUUUUAUCCUGUUUUCCAGAUUACUGUGUCUAAAAAAGAAAUGUUCUGUGGUGUAUUAUCAUUUGUUAUUCCAGGGCACAGUCUAAAUUGACAGUGGACUGACUGCAUCUCUUCAUGGAGUCCUUUCUGUGGGGGAGGAGUGGGAGGUUGGGUUUGCCCUUGCGUACUGUACUCCUCAAUUUGAGGUGACAAUUUAAAAAGCAUCUGGAGGGGUGGAAAAGGGGCUUAUUUACACAGGGAAGAAUAAGAAGCUGAAUAUUUGGGAAUUCAACUCCAUAAAACCUUUCUUGCCACUAAAAACUCCUACUUAAAAGUGCUGGUAUUCAGAUUUCCUUUAAGGGCAUUUUCUUUCUGCACUUUUCUCUAUCAUUACUAACCCUUUCAGGUGCUGAGCAUUAGACUUGGGAACUUGGGUUUGGUUCUUGGUUAGUGUUUGGCCCAAGAGAGAAAGUAGCCUUGAGGAGGGAUUGUUGUAGAACUGCCAGGGUAGUAUAUAUAGGUGAAGAAGAAAAGCUGUAGAAAUCUUUUGGUGAGGGGGUGCUGAGUCCAGUUUGGUUUCAUCUUAAUCUUUCUCCUCCUUGCAGUCUCCCUGCCCCCUCAUCUCCUUCCCUCCUCCUGAUAAUGACAGAACCCUGCAUGGUGUGUUUCCCUAGCACCACUGCACAGUUUGUUUACCUAGCCUGUCUGUGCUUGUCCCUGGGGCAACUGUUGCAAUGGCUGCAAACACCUUCAUUAAGUAGCCCACAAGGGGAUGGUUGUUGGGCAGGUGCUGCUGCUUUUCUUUCACACACCCAAAAUGCAUUCAUUCUCUUUACUGUGCCCUUUCUAUUUCUAACCCUUACCUUCAUAUUUUGCCCCAUCCCCAGGAUUGUGGUAUAAGCCCCAUCCUAUGUUGUAGUUUGAGUAGUAGAGUCAACUUUGGGGAUCAGGAGCUCUGCAUUUUCAAAUUUGAAUGUGCGUGAGCCCUGGCUCUCUUACUCUUCUAAUGCCAACCUCUCCUGUUUCCUCCCUGCAGUUGACCAAGCUGCACCAGUUGGCAAUGCAACAGUCUCAUUUUCCCAUGACGCAUGGCAACACCGGAUUCAGUGGUAUGGAUACCUCAGUGUUUAUUUCUGUAAGGUGUAGUGCAAGACAGAGGCCAGCCCCAAGGUCUCAGUUUGACAUCUGUUUAAAACAUACUUCGUUACCCAGCAUCCUGCUGGUUUAAACUUGCCUGUCUUCUAUCGCUAAACUGAAAGAGGUAAUGUGUUUGUUAACUUGGUUUUCGUUUGGGAUGAGUUAUUCUAAUAAAAAAUAAAAAAAGGCCCUGGAAGGUUUGGGGUGAGG